UCGUCCUCUGAUACUUAUCACAUAAAGGAUAAUGCCUGCCCAGUGAACUUUUAAACGGCCGCGUUAGCGUGAGCGUGCUAAGGUAGCGUAACAAAUAGCCUCUUAAUUGGAGGCCAGUGAAUGGCAAGACUGAGAACACCUAUACACCCUGCGUCGAAAAAACUUUUCAUCUAAGUGAAAAGACUUAGAUAUUACGGGAAGACGAAAAGACCCCGCGGAGCUUUACUUUUUCUCGCACAAACACCAAUUGAUGACAAAUGCAAAAAGUUUGAUUGGGGCAAUCUCGGAACCACCAAGCUUCCGACGCAUUAAGAAAAAUAUCAAAAACUCAUUACGGACAAGAUAGAAGCUACCCCGGGGAUAACAGCGUCAUCCAACUUGAGAGUACACAUCGAAAGUUGGGUUUGCGACCUCGAUGUUGGCUUAAGGAUAUCCGCAUUAGUGCAGCCGCCAUGCAGGAUAGUCUGUUCGACUAUCAUACCCUUA
rnacentral:rRNA from 1 species